rnacentral:lncRNA from 1 species
AUUUAGGAUAUUGGACAGGAUUAUUCUUCAUCCCGGAGAUUGAUGAUGUUACUUAGUACAUUAGGGAAGAUUGAUAUGAUUGGUAAUACGAAAUUGGUUAGAGGGUAUUUGUGGUUGGGUAGAAAAUUCAAGAAUAUCAAAAUACGGCAAUAUUCAAGUUAGCUGUCUAUCUCCAAUCCAUUGGUGCGAAAUUUAUUAUAUUAUACAACUCAGGAGAAAUACAUUACCAACUUCUAAACACUAUUAAAUGCAUGUGGAAUUCAUGUGGAGAUAUCUCCAAUACAUUGGUGCUAAAUUUAUUAUAUUAUACAACUCAGGAGAAAUACAUUACCAACUUCUAAACACUAUUAAAUGCAUGUGGAAUUCAUGUCUAUCUCCACAUGAUUCAAUCAAUCACCUCAUUCAUCAUAUAGUAUACUGGUUAUUUAGGACAUAUGGGAAGAGUUAUCUUUUCAAUUAAGUUUUCUUAAAAAAUGCAAUUUCAUAUAUUAUUUAGGACAUUGGGG